UACGGGGGGGGGCAAGCGUUGUUCGGAAUUACUGGGCGUAAAGGGCUCGUAGGCGGCCAACUAAGUCAGACGUGAAAUCCCUCGGCUUAACCGGGGAACUGCGUCUGAUACUGGAUGGCUUGAGUGUGGGAGAGGAAUGCGGAAUUCCAGGUGUAGCGGUGAAAUGCGUAGAGAUCCCCAAGAACACCAGUGGCGAAGGCGACCACCUGGACUGAUACUGACACUGAGGUGCGAAAGCGUGGGGAGCAAACAGG
rnacentral:rRNA from 1 species